CGGCCGAGAGCGGCGGCCCACGCACCGAGCCCUGGGGCCCUGGGACACUCGGAGGUGGCAGAGAAGAGAGGGAGCCGGCAGCGGAGACUGAGGAGGGGCGGCCAGGGGUCUGGGAGGGAACCCCAAGAGUGCAGGUGCAGCGUGACCUCCUGGUUCUCAGCGCCCUGGAGCGAGAUGCCUCUUGUCGGAAGCAUAAGUUGCGACAGAAACUGGAACAGAUCAUCAGCCUCGUGUCCAGCAACCCCUAAGGGUGGCGGAACCGUCCUCCCGGCUCCUCUGUGACACCGGCAGCCUUGGCCUAGCCUCUGACACACCGCCCCCCGCCCCCCCUCGCCAUGGCUGGCCCCGCCGCUUCCGAGCAGGCGGGUGUCGGCACCAGCAGCACUUGGGGGUGGGGGGGGGGAGGAGUGGAGGGAGGGCGACACCCCUGAAACCGCCCUCGGACUGUGGCUGCGCCCAGGGGUCUCCCCGCAGCUGGGCCUCGGCAUCCCCUCCGACCGUCUGGGGAGUCGGACUGUACCUUCUCCCAGGGUCCUGGCCUGAGCACCUGGACGCCUAUAGCCAGGCUUGGGCCGGGGCCUGAGCUGGGCCUGGGGACCCUGGAACUCUCCUUCUCCCGGCCCUACUGCCAAACUUCCUCAGUGUUGUCUGCACUUGGCCCCGGACCCCUCGCCCCUCAGCUGCGCUGCCCUGCGCCUGCCCCGAGUGGCGUGGCCGAGGCGGCGAGGCGGCCGUGCCUUACUCCUUGGUUCUUCUUCUUCCUCCUCUGAGGGAUCUGGCUCCGCCUCGGGGUCCCGAAAACCCAAGUCUCUCCCCUUCUUGGGCAUGAGCUUUUUGUUGUUGUUGUUGUUGAU